UAAGAUUCUGAUUGCAAUGAAUAACUGCUGAGGUUAUUUUCCCACUUUGAGAUUCUGAAAUUCUUCUACAAUAUUGUUUUUCAACUAGUAGCUCAAUUUGAUUUGAUUCUGGUUUGAUAGCUCAGAUCGAAUCAAGUGGAAAGUUGCAGAAGAAACUAUUUUGAUUGACAGUUUGGAGUUACAGUUUUUCUUUCUUUCAGCUGCUUCUCCCUAUAGAGUUUGGGAGUGUCUGAGUAUAACAUUUGUUCUGUGUUUAUGAAGACAGAGAGAAAAGGGAUGUGAGGAAAAACAUCUUUCAAGUUAGCACUAUCAUAUCAUAUUGUAAAGAAACACUGGAAAGAGAAUUCCAUGAAAAAAUGAGUCCAGUCAAGACACUGUAUUCUUAUUAUGGCUGGAAUGAAGCUGGAGAAAACAAAAAGGAGAUGAAGAAUUCUUUCUUUCUGUUGAUUCUGGGUCUGGAAACAUGGUGAACAAUUUCGUGACCAGUUAUUCCAUUAUAUGCAAACAGAAAAGUGAGACAAGGAUUUCCAUUAGAAGCUGAAGUUUUAUUAGAGGAUAACCGUACAUAACAACACAUCUAAAAUCGAUGUGUUCAAUGCACUUUUAAUAAAGGACUCAGUAAAAUAACAAACAGCUGAAUAUAAGCAGACUACUUUAAGAGUGAACUUAAAAGAAGACCCAAUGUAAGUGAAAAUUUAAACAAUCCUCUAAUAAAGAUCAUUAGCAAAGUUUUAGUACAAUACUCUAUUUUUUAGGAUUCUUGUAAAUGGCUUGCAUUUUCAUUGUGGCAGAAAAAAAAGGAGUUUGUACAUACUGUACACAAAGAGACAGCAGAUAUUUAUAGGUACAGUAUUUUUUUUUUUUUUUUUUUGUACUUGCAUGAAUAUUUACAGAAGGCUGAGUCUGGAACUCAGCGAGGUUUGUGAAAUUUGUGUGCUUCAUCCUUAGACCUACACACUUCUGUAAUCAUCAUUUAAUGUGGUAUUUUUAAAUGUUACUUUAAACACUUGGUUGUAGGAGAAAAUAUUAACCAUAAGGCUUGGUAUACUUUAUAAAUACACCUAAACAAUUCCGAAAAACAAUGUUGCAAUCAAGUCAAUUAUUAUUAUAAUUACUUAACCUUUAUUAAAUGCCGACAAUGUGCUGGGCAUUUUAGAGAACAUAGAAAAGAUAAGAUUCCCUGCUCUUAAGCAGCCUAUGAUGUUAAAUGGAGUAAAAAAGGCCUGUAUCUCCUUUUUAAGCUAAAGCAAGAAGGAAUGGCCUCAUGAUUUGUAUUAAAAUGUUGUGUUAUUUUUCCACUAGCCUCUAGCCAAUUGAGUUUUGAAAGGUAAUUAUUAUUAGCAUUCUAGAGAUCAUGAAACCUGCCCACCAUGUGCAAUUGCAUUUAUAUUUAUGAUAACAACAAAUCUUCCGUAAAAAUGGAAAAUGUCUGGGAUUGCGGGUACAAAUGCAAUGCAUGGAAGCCAGGAUCAUGACAUUAGAAUUUAUCACCUUCAGUUACAAAAAGUGCAGUAAACAGAAACAUUUCAUAUAGGUUUAUAAAUUGCUCAAAAAUCUUUGCUAAAGAUCUUAUAAAUUCAGUAAUAUCACAGAACAAUUCUAAUAAAUAUUUAAUAAGGUUUAACUACAUCCUUAGUUAGAUAUUUGAUAUAUUUCUUUCAAGAAUGAACCUGCCAAGGGUUUGGAAGAAUUAUUAGCUCCUCGUCCAAUUGCUAAUUCAAAAUGAACAUUACAUAAUUGACUGAUAACACAAAUUUCAUAUCCAAGUUAAACAUAUCCAAAUGUGAGACCCACACAUUUACUAGAUGACAAACAUAUCCAUCUACCAGUAACUUUUUGUUUGGAAGGUUUGUUCUACCAUCAAGCUACCAACAAUGUUUUCUAAAAUGUCUCUUUUUUUGUAAUUGGUGCGCUAAGUGCACCAGGUGCCAAAUAUAAUUUAUUAUUUAAAAAAAAAAAAAACAAACCUAAAAAUGUAUUGCUUUUGAAACUAGAGUGAGCCUUUAGGUCUUGAAGUUACAGGAAAUUAUUUUUCAUCUUAAGAAAUAUAAUAUUACAAAGCCAGGUUAUAAAACAAAUAAAAAAAAAAGGUGCUAAAUUUUCACAAUCCAUAUUUAUAAGAAAAUUCACUCUAUUGAUGCCAAAUAUCAAUACUAAGGAAGUAAUUUUAUCCCAAUUAAAUACACUGUAGAAUAAUUUAUAUAAUGAUACUAUGUAUUUAAAGAGAAAAGCAUGUCCCAAAUCUAGCACUCUGAUACAGGUACCAGUUGGGUACAGGUAGAUAUAUAGAUAUAUAUAUAUAUGCUAUAUAUAUAUAUAUAUAUGUAUAUAUAUACAAAUAUAUAUAGUUAUACUCAGUGAAAUUAACAAGACCCAAAGGUGGUAUUGUCUAGGAAUAAAAGGGAUUUUUGUUCACAAAAGUAACUUAUCUAGCACCACACAUCAGAAAAACACAAAAAUAGCACACUCUAGUUCUAAACAGCUAUGUCUAAAAUAGAUUAUAUAGUAAAACAGGUAUUAUACAGAAUAAUGUGGUAUUUGAUAAACAGAUAAAUAUUUGCACUGAGUAGGCUGUUUAUAAUAUAACAUUUUCUUAUCUAUACAGAAUGAAAGCCAAAAAGUUAACUGUAUAGAGGUGAGCAGAACAACAUUAAAUAUCAUGACUCAAAAGCAGAGACAAAGAUAAAUUUGAAAGAAGAGUAAGAGAAAAUGUUUACAGGCCAUUACAAGUCCUUAAGUUAGCAGGAAAAUAAGGAAUCAGUUGCUCAAGUUGAAGAAAGCAGUAAACAAGAUUGCAUUUACAUGCAGAUGUCUAAAAUUUGUAUUUUUUUUAAAAUCUAUGCACAAAAAGUCAUUUGUUUUUAUUGCUUGACAUUCAGUUAUGGCUAGAGUAUUUUUAACCUAUUUUUUUUUUUUUUGUACUUUGGAAACAAGAAUAUUGUUAAAGGUGCCAUAAAAAUGGACAACAUUGAAAAUGGUUUGCAAAUAAACCACCUAACACUGCAGUUCUUUAUACAUUUUAAAAGCCUUGUCUGGGGUUUGUCAUAUGUUAAAUAUAUUUAAAUUGGGAAAAUAUGUUGUAGCUUGAAGCCUCCCAUUGGCCCAAACAUCCAAUACAAAAACACAUCUCCACAAAAGGAGCAGGCAGACAAUACAGGUACAUAGAAAGAAGCAGCCAGCUAAUUUCCUAAUGUUAAAAACACUUACCACUGUUUUACAUGUAGAUUGAAACCAAAACAGAAAAGAGAAUUUGGAGUUUAGAAAGAUGUGUACAGUACAUAUGUAUUUUUGUGAAAUAAAAUUCACUAUAUUGCUUAUGAGUUGCUUGCAUUUACUUAUGCAAUCUGUUCAGUGAUAAUCAGCUCCAAAGAAAAUGUAUUAAUCCAUAUUAAGACUGAUUGGGUUAAUGGGUGGGACACAAUUAGAUGAAGUGCACAAAGAACAAUGAAAGCAUAGAACUGUUUCUUGGAGAAUAUCAUGAUAGUGUAUGGAGAAUGCAAUGUGUUCCAUGAAAAGGUUUCAAGGAAUAACAUAUAAAAGUUUAAUGUGGUACAAUAAUUAAAGCAUAACACUAAAUGCAGAUUAGAAAUACUGACUUUUCUAGUCAUCCACUUAAAACAUUCAUAUGCAGUUUCCACAAUGAAUCCAUAGACCAAUACAUUUUAUGUUGAAUUACCCAAAAAAAAAAUAUUUCCUUUAUGGACUAAAUGUAAUUAUUGCUCUAAGUUUUAGAGGUCAGAUUCCUGCCUCAUAAGUGGGUAUAAGGUUCUUGUAAUCUACAAUGGCAGUUUGGUGCUGAAAGAAGUUAUUAAAUGAAGAGCCCAACAAGAGAUGAUGUCACUAAAGAAAAAUUGAAAAGAAACAACUGCUACAUGGAAAUGUUUGGCCAUUCUACAAUGCAGAUAUAGAUGGAGGAAAGACUUUGUGUGUCUUAAAAUAAGUGAUGGAAAUUAACUCAAUAUUCUAAAACUGCUUUAUAAGGCAGGCAUUGAAGGAUAGAAAAACUUCUACAGAUGGAACAUAUCAUAUCUGUCAUAUGUCCCUAUUGUGUUUCUGAGUGGGAGGAUUUAACUUGUAAUAUGUUUUAAAGACAUUCCAUUAUAUUAUAUUUUGACACUACAGUAGUAAAAAAAUUUUUUCUUAACCGAAAUUUAAUAAGUUAUGCAAUACACACACACACACACACACACACACACACACACACACACAUAUACAUAUAUAUGUGUGUAUAUAUCUGUUCCUGAUUCAGUGGAUAGAUGAAGGUCUCAAAAUAUGCUUAUGUUGGAAUAUUUUGUCUAUAAAGUAUUUAAAGCUUUCUUCUGCAUAUUUAUAUCUAUAGCAAAAAAAUGGAAUAGAGGAAA
ensembl:lncRNA